CGUAGUACGUAGUGCGUAGUACGUAGUACGUAGUGCGUAGUACGUAGUGCGUAGUACGUAGUACGUAGUGCGUAGUACGUAGUAGUACGUAGUGCGUAGUACGUAUUACGUAGUGCGUAGUGCGUAGUACGUAGUGCGUAGUACGUAGUACGUAGUGCGUAGUACGUAGUGCGUAGUGCGUAGUACGUAGUAGUGCGUAGUACGUAGUGCGUAGUACGUAGUGCGUAGUGCGUAGUACGUAGUGCGUAGUACGUAGUGCGUAGUAUAAUAAAUACAACCACUCAGUCCCAAAGUGUUCCCUUCUGAAUGUUUAUUGGCCUAUUUCAAACUCCAUUGUAAAAUAUACUUGAUAAAGAAUCAGUACGUUCCAAAACCAAUUUCUCACUGCAAUAACUAGCCGUUACAGCACAUCCUUCAGGAAAUGAUCAAACAUCAACUCCGUGUUUAGGGAGUCAUUGAGGUGCGUACUGACUUCCCUGAACACCCAGUAGGUGUGUUCACAGAGCAUCUCAGAGUUGAGGUGGUUAUCUAGGAUCAGGCCCCCCUCAUCCCUCUUCUUGUUCAUUAUGAUGUUAACACUGAUCCUGGAUGUGGUCUCUAUUUCUGAAUACUGGCCCAGUAGCAGUAUCAGGAAACUCCGGUCUGUCAUUGGUUACCCACCAGGAUACAGGUCAACAUAUCUGACCCCAACCCACCAGGAUACAGGUCAACAUAUCUUACCCCAACCGACCAGGAUACAGGUCAACAUAUCUGACCCCAACCCUAACCCACCAGGAUACAGGUCAACAUAUCUGACCCCAACCCUAACCCACCAGGAUACAGGUCAACAUAUCUGACCCCAACUCUAACCCACCAGAAUACAGGUCAACAUAUCUGACCCUAAUCCACCAGGAUACAGGUCAACAUAUCUGACCCUAACCCACCAGGAUACAGGUCAACAUAUCUGACCCCAACCCACCAGGAUACAGGUCAACAUAUCUGACCCUAACCCUAACCCACCAGGAUACAGGUCAACAUAUCUGACCCCAACCCACCAGGAUACAGGUCAACAUAUCUGACCCCAACCCACCAGGAUACAGGUCAACAUAUCUGACCCCAACCCUAACCCACUAGGAUACAGGUCAACAUAUCUGACCCUAACCCACCAGGAUACAGGUCAACAUAUCUGACCCUAACCCACCAGGAUACAGGUCAACAUAUCUGACCCUAACCCACCAGGAUACAGGUCAACAUAUCUGACCCUAACCCACCAGGAUACAGGUCAACAUAUCUGACCCCAACCCACCAGGAUACAGGUCAACAUAUCUGACCCUAAUCCACCAGGAUACAGGUCAACAUAUCUGACCCCAACCCCAACCCACCAGGAUACAGGUCAACAUAUCUGACUCUAACCCACCAGGAUACAGGUCAACAUAUCUGACCCCAACCCACCAGGAUACAGGUCAACAUAUCUGACCCUAAUCCACCAGGAUACAGGUCAACAUAUCUGACCCCAAUCCUAACCCACCAGGAUACAGGUCAACAUAUCUGACCCCAACUCUAACCCACCAGGAUACAGGUCAACAUAUCUGACCCCAACCCUAACCCACCAGGAUACAGGUCAACAUAUCUGACCCUAACCCACCAGGAUACAGGUCAACAUAUCUGUCCCCAACCCACCAGGAUACAGGUCAACAUAUCUGUCCCCAACCCACCAGGAUACAGGUCAACAUAUCUGACCCUAACCCUAACCCACCAGGAUACAGGUCAACAUAUCUGACCCCAACUCUAACCCACCAGGAUACAGGUCAACAUAUCUGACCCCAACUCUAACCCACCAGGAUACAGGUCAACAUAUCUGACCCUAACCCACCAGGAUACAGGUCAACAUAUCUGACCCCAACCCACCAGGAUACAGGUCAACAUAUCUGACCCUAACCCUAACCCACCAGGAUACAGGUCAACAUAUCUGACCCUAACCCACCAGGAUACAGGUCAACAUAUCUGACCCCAACCCACCAGGAUACAGGUCAACAUAUCUGACCCUAACCCACCAGGAUACAGGUCAACAUAUCUGACCCUAACCCUAACCCACCAGGAUACAGGUCAACAUAUCUGACCCUAACCCACCAGGAUACAGGUCAACAUAUCUGACCCCAACCCACCAGGAUACAGGUCAACAUAUCUGACCCCAAUCCACCAGGAUACAGGUCAACAUAUCUGACCCCAACCCACCAGGAUACAGAUCAACAUAUCUGACCCCAACCCACCAGGAUACAGGUCAACAUAUCUGACCCUAACCCACCAGGAUACAGGUCAACAUAUCUGACCCCAACCCACCAGGAUACAGGUCAACAUAUCUGACCCUAACCCACCAGGAUACAGGUCAACAUAUCUGACCCCAACUCUAACCCACCAGGAUACAGGUCAACAUAUCUGACCCCAACCCACCAGGAUACAGGUCAACAUAUCUGACCCUAACCCUAACCCACCAGGAUACAGGUCAACAUAUCUGACCCUAACCCACCAGGAUACAGGUCAACAUAUCUGACCCCAACCCACCAGGAUACAGGUCAACAUAUCUGACCCUAACCCACCAGGAUACAGGUCAACAUAUCUGACCCUAACCCUAACCCACCAGGAUACAGGUCAACAUAUCUGACCCUAACCCACCAGGAUACAGGUCAACAUAUCUGACCCCAACCCACCAGGAUACAGGUCAACAUAUCUGACCCCAAUCCACCAGGAUACAGGUCAACAUAUCUGACCCCAACCCACCAGGAUACAGGUCAACAUAUCUGACCCCAACCCACCAGGAUACAGGUCAACAUAUCUGACCCUAACCCACCAGGAUACAGGUCAACAUAUCUGACCCCAACCCACCAGGAUACAGGUCAACAUAUCUGACCCUAACCCACCAGGAUACAGGUCAACAUAUCUGACCCUAACCCACCAGGAUACAGGUCAACAUAUCUGACAUUAUCAAAGUGUUCCAGAGGAAACAUUUCCCUUUGUCACUUGAUACAAACCAUACUAGUCCUCCCACAGAGACAGACAAAAACAGACAGACAGACCUGUGAUCUAAACGUCUCUAUCUUGAAAAUUUGAAAAUAGCUUUCAAUUGUAAAAUGUCAUCGGGAGACAAUCGUUAGAAGGACUUCCUGAAACGGUGUCGGUACACUUUAAUUGAGUUUAGCCUCUCAUCUUCUCACAGGUCCCUUUGAGGUGAAAAGGAAAUGGGUUUACAUUUUCUAAAGGAAUCCAGUUUUGUAAGCAUCCACUAACCUACACCAAAUACAUGUACGAGCUUCGGCAACAGUCUUUAGGUUAACUUCCUAAAAGAAAUUGGGCCAUUACAUAUAAGAUACCUGUCUAACACGCCUCUCAAAGUGGACAUUUCACAGUGAAUUAAAAAUCAGUUUGUAUCAUAAUUAAUUAUAUAUGCUACAUGAAGCUAGUGAUGAGGACAUGUAGUGAUGUAAGUAAAGUAUCUGCAUAUAAUGUGUUAGUGUUAUUUAUGGUUUGACCUUUUAUGGUAUGUUUUAUUUAACCCCUUGGUUUGUGUAAUAUACUGUAUUAUUUUCUGAGAUGACACAUUAUUAUGAAAUAUCUGCCUUUUACAGACUAUACAUGGCUUUUUAAGACAUAUAUGUCAGAAAUUUAACUUAUUUACAUUACCAACAUACAUUGUGUGUAUAUAAAUAAAAUGUAAAAAGUA